rnacentral:rRNA from 1 species
GACGAACGCUGGCGGCGUGCUUAACACAUGCAAGUCGAACGGAAAGGCCCCUUUUGGGGUACUCGGGUGGCGGACGGGUGCGUAACACGUGAGUAACCUUCCCUUGACUUCGGGAUAAAUUCAGGAAAGUGGGGCUAAUACCGGAUAGGAAUCCUUUCUGCAUGGUGGGGGUUGGAAAGCUUCGGCGGUUUUGGUUGGACUCGCGGCUUAUCAGCUUGUUGGGGGGGUGGUGGCUUACCAAGGCUUUGACGGGUGGCCGGCCUGAGGGGGCGACCGGCCACAUUGGGACUGAGAUACGGCCCAGACUCCUACGGGAGGCAGCAGUGGGGAAUAUUGCACAAUGGGCGGAAGCCUGAUGCAGCAACGCCGCGUGCGGGAUGACGGCCUUCGGGUUGUAAACCGCUUUCAGCAGGGGCGAAGCUUGUGGUGACGGUACCUGCAGAAGAAGCACCGGCUAACUACGUG